rnacentral:lncRNA from 1 species
CGCUGGACCUCGUCGUUGGCCGCGCUGCCCUCGGGGUGAGUAACAUCUUCAGCAGGCGGAGGCUUUCGUCUCGCUGCCGCUGGCCUCUUGAUGCUGCCGGGAGUAGAGAGGUGAGAGCAAGGGCGGGGCGUUAGGGCGAUUUAAAGUGCGCCGCCUGUAGAGUGUGAGCCGUUUGCUUCUCGUGAGCGAAGCGCUGAGGCGCGGUGCCGUCCCUCCGCCUCGGGCGGCCGCCGCCUGACUACGGGGAGCGGGCAGCCCUCGGGAACGGCCGCGCUGCUACCAGGAGAGGCCGUGCGGCCCGUCGUGCCAUCUGCUGUCUGAGGCGGGUUGGAGCCGGUGCUUGAAGAAUUCACUAGAAUGAGUGAGAAUAAUUUUGACAUUCAAAGCCCACGUAAGUAAGGCUUUAAUCAAAUAGUUAUGUAAAUCUUUAGUCUGCAUAUAAAAUAUCAAUUACGAAUCGCUUUAUUUUGUCUAAAAAUGCAGGUGCGUUUUCUGUAAUCAAGUUGUGUUGGAACCACUUGCCUUGGAAUGAAAAAGAAAGAACUUGUUAGCUUCCUUGGAUUUCUUUGCUGUAAUUGGAAUAUUUGAAAUCUUUUCUGCAGAUGUUUUGAGAAAGUAACCUUGAAUUCAGGUGCCAAAUCUCACGCAGCCAUUUGAGAUGUGUCAUCCAAGAUGCUUUCUUAGUCUGCAGCAGUACCUCUCCUCACUACUGUGAUUGUUCCUGAUGUUACUGUACUGAAAAUGUUUUAUAUAUCUGUUGGAAAUUGAAGGGAAGAUAUUCCCUGCCUAUGCAUGCUCAAGUAUGCUGAUGGGCUUGGAACUUCAGAAAUGGGGAAAUUCUCAAGGCUUUAGUUGAUGCUGAUGGCUCAAGUUUUUAAAUGUUUUGAAGCUAAUAUGUUUUUAAAGUAUUGCUUAUAACUUGACAGUCUGGAUACUGUUAAUGCUUUUCAUGAAGAUUAUCACAUAGAAAUA